rnacentral:rRNA from 1 species
UACGAAGGGGGCUAGCGUUGCUCGGAAUCACUGGGCGUAAAGCGUGCGCAGGCGGCUUUGCAAGACAGAUGUGAAAUCCCCGGGCUUAACCUGGGAACUGCAUUUGUGACUGCAUGGCUGGAGUGCGGCAGAGGGGGAUGGAAUUCCGCGUGUAGCAGUGAAAUGCGUAGAUAUGUGGAGGAACACCAGUGGCGAAGGCGACUCUCUGGUCUGUAACUGACGCUGAGGCGCGAAAGCGUGGGGAGCAAACAGG